UAUAUAUGCUAUCUCAUUUAAUAUCUCAUUUAAUUCUUUGAAAAAGUACUCAGUAGUCCCAAUUUGCUCAAGACUUUAAUAAGUAAUAGAAUGAUAAUUUGGGCUGGACGCAGUGGCUCACGCCUGUAGUCCCAGCACUUUGGGAGGCUGAGGUGGGCAGAUCACCUGAGGUCAGGCGUUCGAGACCAGCCAUGGUCAACAUGGCGAAACCCCAUCUCUACUAAAAAUACAAAAAUUAGCUGGGUGUGGUGAGUCAUUCCUGUGACCCAGCUACUUGGGAGGCUGAGGUAUGAGAAUUGCUUGAACCCAGGAGGCAGAGGUUGCAGUGAGCCGAGAUCACGUCACUGCACUCCAGCCUGAACGACAGGAAUGUUUCUCCAUCCCAGAGAGAUGAAGUAAUUCAAUGGCUGGCCAAACUCAAGUACCAAUUCAACCUUUACCCAGAAACAUUUGCUCUGGCUAGCAGUCUUUUGGAUAGGUUUUUAGCUACCGUAAAGGCUCAUCCAAAAUACUUGAGUUGUAUUGCAAUCAGCUGUUUUUUCCUAGCUGCCAAGACUGUUGAGGAAGAUGAGAGAAUUCCAGUACUAAAGGUAUUGGCAAGAGACAGUUU
rnacentral:lncRNA from 10 species